GCCCGCCUAGCUCAAUCGGAUAGAGCGUGAGACUUUUACGGCCUCUAGGACGGCGGGUAAAUCUCAAGGCUGCGGGUUCGACCCCCGCGGUGGGCU